AAUCAGGGGGCCCACCCCCUAAGGCUAAAUACUACUUAGUGACCGAUAGCGCAUAGUACUGUGAAGGAAAGGUGAAAAGGACCCCGGGAGGGGAGUGAAAGAGAACCUGAAACCCUGUGUCUACAAGCUGUGGAAGUGCUUUAUAUGCACGACCGCGUACUUUUUGUAGAACGGUCCGGCGAGUUACGCUUACUGGCAAGGUUAAGCACUUCAGGUGCGGAGCCGUAGGGAAACCAAGUCUUAAGAGGGCCUUAAGUCAGUAGGAGUAGACCCGAAACCGGGUGAUCUAUCCAUGUCCAGGUUGAAGCUGCCGUAAGAGGUAGUGGAGGACCGAACCCACAUCCGUUGAAAAGGGUGGGGAUGAGGUGUGGAUAGGGGAGAAAUUCCAAUCGAACCCGGAGAUAGCUGGUUCUCCUCGAAAUAGCUUUAGGGCUAGCCUCGAUACAGAUUUGCGGAGGUAGAGCACUGAAUUUCCUAGGGGGCGUCAAAGCCUACCGAAGAAUAUCAAACUCCGAAUGCCGCGUAAUCGAUUAUCGGGAGUCAGACUGCACGAGAUAAGUUGGGCGGUCAAAAGGGAAAGAGCCCAGACCUUCAGUUAAGGUCCCCAAGUGCGCGUUAAGUGGAAAAGGAUGUGGGAUUUCGAAGACAACCAGGAUGUUGGCUCAGAAGCAGCCAUCCAUUCAAAGAGUGCGUAAUAGCUCACUGGUCGAGAGGUCCUGCGCCGAAAAUGUCCGGGGCUGAAACGCGCCACCGAAACUAAGGAACCGAAAGGUUGGUAGAGGAGCAUUGCAUGCGGGAAGAAGCAGUACCGUAAGGAGCUGUGGACUGCAUGGAAGAGAGAAUGCCGGAAUGAGUAGCGAGAAUAAGGUGGGAAUCCUUAUGGCCGAAUAUCCAAGGUUUCCAGAGUAAAGCUGAUCUGCUCUGGGUAAGUCGGGGCCUAAGGCGAGGACGAGAGUCGUAGCCGAUGGACAACAGGUGGAGAUUCCUGUACUGCGGUAUGACAGAACUGUGGGGACACGUAAGGAAAGCGGAAGCCGGGAAUGGAAAGCCCGGUGCAAGCGGGGUACCAGUCACUUUGGCAAAUCCGGGUGGCAAUGGGAAGCCGUGAUGCGGAGCGAAAUAAAGUAGCGAAGUCCGUGAGCCAUGCGUCAAGAAAAGCCGCUAUCGUUUAUACCGUACCCGUACCGUAAACCGACACAGGUGGAUGAGGAGAGAAUCCUAAGGCCGGCGGAAGAAGCAUUGUCAAGGAACUCGGCAAAAUGGCCCCGUAACUUAGGGAUAAGGGGUGCCUGGGAAACCAGGCCGCAGAGAAUAGGCUCAAGCAACUGUUUAGCAAAAACACAGGUCUAUGCGAAACCGAAAGGUGAGGUAUAUGGGCUGACGCCUGCCCGGUGCUGGAAGGUUAAGAGGAGAGGUUAGCGGUAACGCGAAGCUUUGAAUUUAAGCCCCAGUAAACGGCGGCCGUAACUAUAACGGUCCUAAGGUAGCGAAAUUCCUUGUCGGGUAAGUUCCGACCCGCACGAAAGGCGUAAUGAUUUGAGCGCUGUCUCGACAAUGCAUCCGGUGAAAUUGAAGUACCAGUGAAGAUGCUGGUUACCUGCGCCAGGACGGAAAGACCCCAUGGAGCUUUACUCCAGUCUGGUACUGGGACUCGGUAUUGCAUGUACAGGAUAGGUGGGAGGCUAGGAGAUGGUAACGCCAGUUGCCAUGGAGCCGCUGUUGGGAUACCACCCUUGCAGUAUUGGGUUUCUAACCAGCCGCCGUGACCCGGCGGUGGGACAAUGCCAGACGGGGAGUUUGACUGGGGCGGUCGCCUCCGAAAGGGUAUCGGAGGCGCCCAAAGGUUCCCUCAGAAUGGACGGAAACCAUUCGAAGAGUGCAAAGGCAGAAGGGAGCUUGACUGCGACACCGACGGGUGGAGCAGGUACGAAAGUAGGGCUUAGUGAUCCGGUGGUAUUAAGUGGGAAUGCCAUCGCUCAACGGAUAAAAGCUACCCUGGGGAUAACAGGCUUAUCACUCCCAAGAGUUCACAUCGACGGAGUGGUUUGGCACCUCGAUGUCGGCUCAUCGCAUCCUGGGGCUGUAGUAGGUCCCAAGGGUUGGGCUGUUCGCCCAUUAAAGCGGUACGCGAGCUGGGUUCAGAACGUCGUGAGACAGUUCGGUCCCUAUCC
rnacentral:rRNA from 1 species